UUAGGUUUUGGGGCUAGGGAAAGGUUUAAGGUUUUUGGCGUUAGGGUUAAAAUCACUGUCCAAAACCUUUGUAGGAACUCUUUUCCAACCAUUUGGAGUUAGUUAGACCAAAUAAAAAUGAAAAAUGAAAAAAAAAUAUUUGGCUUGUUUUGGCUUCCUGAAGAUAAUGCACGGGUAUUAGGUUUUGGGGCUAGGGUAAGGUUUAAGGUUUUUGGCGUUAGGGUUAAAAUCACUGUCCAAAACCUU